UAGGGAAUCUUCGGCAAUGGGGGGAACCCUGACCGAGCAACGCCGCGUGAGUGAAGAAGGUUUUCGGAUCGUAAAGCUCUGUUGUUAAGGAAGAACGAGUGUGAGAAUGGAAAGUUCAUACUGUGACGGUACUUAACCAGAAAGGGACGGCUAACUACGUGCCAGCAGCCGCGGUAAUACGUAGGUCCCGAGCGUUGUCCGGAUUUAUUGGGCGUAAAGCGAGCGCAGGCGGUUAGAUAAGUCUGAAGUUAAAGGCAGUGGCUCAACCAUUGUAGGCUUUGGAAACUGUUUAACUUGAGUGCAGAAGGGGAGAGUGGAAUUUCAUGUGUAGCGGUGAAGUGCGUAGAUAUAUGGAGGAACACCGGUGGCGAAAGCGGCUCUCUGGUCUGUAACUGACGCUGAGGCUCGAAAGCGUGGGGAGCGAACAGG
rnacentral:rRNA from 1 species